GCUGAAGAACGUAGCGAAAUGCGAUAAGUAAUGUGAAUUGCAGAAUCCAGUGAAUCAUCGAAUCUUUGAACGCACAUUGCGCCCGCCAGCAUUCUGGCGGGCAUGCCUGUUCGAGCGUCAUUUCAACCCUCGACCUCCCUUUGGGGAAGUCGGCGUUGGGGACCGGCAGCACACCGCCGGCCCUGAAAUGGAGUGGCGGCCCGUCCGCGGCGACCUCUGCGUAGUAAACCAACUCGCACCGGAACCCCGACGUGGCCACGCCGUAAAACACCCAACUUCUGAACGUUGACCUCGAAUCAGGUAGGACUACCCGCUGAACUUAAGCAUAUCAAUAAGCGGAGGA
rnacentral:misc_RNA from 1 species